AUCACAGAAUUGCAAGAGUUGGGAGGGACCUCUACAAUCUGCAACAUUGAUCCAGGUACUUGGAUUGUCACUCCAUCAUCUUUAUUGCACAGCACUUGAGUAAUGAACACAAAUUAGUACUGAAUGCAUUUAAACUUUAAUUCCAUUUGCAAUCAUGGAAUACACUGAUUUGGAAUGGAUCCACAAAGAUCAUCAAGUCUUACUCCUGACUAUACAUAGGACUGUAUGAAUACUUCUUUGUUUUUUGGCUUAAAGCUUGCUUUCUGAGGCAUUUCUUGCGAUAAGACUCUGAGUUAGAUGAGAGAUGGGUGUUGCUGUGUGGCAAUCAACAUCACUGUGUGGACCAUUUUACAUUUGAAAGCAUUUCUCUGGAGCUAUUUGCCUCCGGAAGAGAGUGCUCAGGAGUGGUUACUGGUGGAAGAUCUGGCCUGUGACUAAAUAGCCCCAGGUUGGUGUGGGAAAACUGGGGAAUGAUACCAUCGUGUCCUGUGAAAAACAGGAUUCAGAUGGACAUCCCUGCUCCCUCUUAUUUGCUGGCAAGGCCCGGAAGAUAGUAACAAAGCAGUUUCUGCUGAAUCCCAGAGCCAGUAGCUGCCACUCCAAGGAGAGCUGACUCAACCACUUUGGAUUUGAGCUGUCACUCAAAAGAGAGCUGAUUUGACCAGUUUUGACUUAUAAAUAAGUUUGUACUGCCAUUGCCGUUGUCGUUGUCAUCUCUGUGGACACUGUUGUCAACAGAACAACAACGCCCGAUGACCCACCACUACUGAAGAUAAGUGACUGAACUACGAACCACGCUGGACCCACGGUGGUGACUAUCAUCUCCUUCUUGCCACCUAUAGAGACUCCUUGCUCCUAUUUCCUAUCUUUUCUGCUGCCCUUCUUCCCUUCCCCAUCA
ensembl:lncRNA